rnacentral:rRNA from 1 species
AGGACGAACGCUGGCGGCGUGCCUAAUACAUGCAAGUCGGAACGAACUGUGGAAAGCUUGCUUUCAGAGUUAGUGGCGAACGGGUGAGUAACACGUAAGUAACCUAGCUAUUAGACGAGGAUAACUACUGGAAACGGUAGCUAAGACUGGAUAUGAUAGAAAUAUUUAAAGGAUGCUAAGGCAUCGCUAAUAGAGGGGCUUGCGGCGCAUUAGCUAGUUGGUAGGGUAAAAGCCAACCAAGGCGAUGAUGCGUAGCCGACCUGAGAGGGUGACCGGCCACACUGGGACUGAGACACGGCCCAGACUCCUACGGGAGGCAGCAGUAGGGAAUCUUCGGCAAUGGACGGAAGUCUGACCGAGCAACGCCGCGUGAGUGAAGAAAGUUUUCGGAUUGUAAAGCUCUGUUAUUAGGGAAGAAAGGCUCUAGGAGGAAAUGCUUAGGGAUUGACGGUACCUAAUGAGGAAGCCACGGCUAACUACGUGCCAGCAGCCGC